AGAAUCAACGCUGGCGGCGUGCCUCAGACAUGCAAGUCGAACGCGAAAGUCCCCUUCGGGGGACAAGUAGAGUGGCGCACGGGUGAGUAACACGUAGGUAAUCUACCUUCGGGUGGGGAAUAACAAUCGGAAACGGUUGCUAAUACCGCAUAAUGCAGCGGCACCUAAUGGUGACAGUUGUUAAAGCGGGGGAUCGCAAGAUCUCGCGCCUGAAGAGGAGCCUGCGGCGGAUUAGCUAGUUGGUAGGGUAAUGGCCUACCAAGGCGACGAUCCGUA
rnacentral:rRNA from 1 species